UCUCAUUUGGGCAUUGUUUCUUGAUUGGGGUUUGUUGCGGCGAUAUGUAGCUGCGGAUGAUGGUGGGGUGGUGAAAAGGGAAGGGUUUGAGAUUAUAAUUGGCGGUGGCUAUAGUCCACCUCCUGAGUAUGAAGAAGGCUGUCCACCUCCCCCUCCUGAGCCUGAAUGCCCCCCACCUCCACCUCCAUCUCCACCUCCACCUCCACCUCCAUCUCCACCUCCACCUCCAUCUCCACCUCCACCUCCACCUCCAUCUCCACCUCCACCUCCAUCUCCACCUCCACCUCCACCUCCAUCUCCACCUCCACCCCCUCCUCCACCCCCUCCUCCUCCUCCUCCUCCACCUCCUCCUCCUCCUCCGCCUCCGCCUCCUCCUCCUCCACCAGUCGAUCGCAAUGCGAGACUUAAAAUUGCUCUAAAAGCAAUCAGGAUAUUCCAAGCCAAAAUCACGGUAGAUCCUUUUAAUAUCGCCAAGGGAUGGAAGGGCAACAAUCCUUGCAAAUUCAAGGGCUUCGUCUGCAGUACUGUCCCGGACAAGAAC
rnacentral:lncRNA from 1 species